GCAGCCCGCGCGCGCCCAGCGCUCUUCCCGCGCGCGCCCUGCGCUCUCCAAGCGCUUCCAGAACCUUCGGGUGAACCUCAUUUGCCCGCGCGCCUGGCAUUCUCGCGCGCCAGUUUGAACCUCCUUUGCCUGCGUGCGCGCCCAACCUUCCUGCGCAGAUUUGAACCUCAUUCGUGCGGGCGCCCAGCACUCCCGCAUGCCCAUUCUCGCGCGAUGAACCUCAUUUCGAGCCUCGUUUGCUCGCCUGCUGCUCCCACGUAGCUCGCACGCCCAGCAGGCCCGUUGUGCGCCAGACUUGGC
rnacentral:misc_RNA from 1 species